GGGGAAUAUUGCACAAUGGGGGAAACCCUGAUGCAGCGACGCCGCGUGGAGGAAGAAGGUCUUCGGAUUGUAAACUCCUGUUGUUGAGGAAGAUAAUGACGGUACUCAACAAGGAAGUGACGGCUAACUACGUGCCAGCAGCCGCGGUAAAACGUAGGUCACAAGCGUUGUCCGGAAUUACUGGGUGUAAAGGGAGCGCAGGUGGGCGAUCAAGUUGGAAGUGAAAUCCAUGGGCUCAACCCAUGAACUGCUUUCAAAACUGGUCGUCUUGAGUAGUGCAGAGGUAGGCGGAAUUCCCGGUGUAGCGGUGGAAUGCGUAGAUAUCGGGAGGAACACCAGUGGCGAAGGCGGCCUACUGGGCACCAACUGACGCUGAGGCUCGAAAGUGUGGGUAGCAAACAGGAUUAGAUACCCUGGUAGUCCACACCGUAAACGAUGAUUACUAGGUGUUGGGAGAUUGACCCUCUCAGUGCCGCAGUUAACACAAUAAGUAAUCCACCUGGGGAGUACGACCGCAAGGUUGAAACUCAAAGGAAUUGACGGGGGCCCGCACAAGCAGUGGAGUAUGUGGUUUAAUUCGACGCAACGCGAAGAACCUUACCAAGUCUUGACAUCCUCUGACGAACGUAGAAAUACGUUUUCUCUUCGGAGCAGAGAGACAGGUGGUGCAUGGUUGUCGUCAGCUCGUGUCGUGAGAUGUUGGGUUAAGUCCCGCAACGAGCGCAACCCUUAUGGUCAGUUACUACGCAAGAGGACUCUGGCCAGACUGCCGUUGACAAAACGGAGGAAGGUGGGGAUGACGUCAAAUCAUCAUGCCCUUUAUGACUUGGGCUACACACGUACUACAAUGGCGUUAAACAAAGAGAAGCAAGACCGCGAGGUGGAGCAAAACUCAGAAACAACGUCCCAGUUCGGACUGCAGGCUGCAACUCGCCUGCACGAAGUCGGAAUUGCUAGUAAUCGUGGAUCAGCAUGCCACGGUGAAUACGUUCCCG
rnacentral:rRNA from 1 species